rnacentral:rRNA from 1 species
CACCUACGGGUGGCUGCAGUCGAGAAUCUUUGGCAAUGGACGCAAGUCUGACCAAGCGACGCCGCGUGCGGGAUGAAGGCCUUCGGGUUGUAAACCGCUGUCAGUGGGGAGGAAAUCCUAGGGGGUUAUCCCUCUAGGUUGACCUAUCUUCAGAGGAAGUGCGGGCUAAGUUCGUGCCAGCAGCCGCGGUAAGACGAACCGCACGAACGUUAUUCGGAAUCACUGGGCUUAAAGGGUGCGUAGGUGGUCCGUUAAGUUCGUUGUGAAAGCCCUGGGCUCAACCCAGGAACGGCUUCGAAUACUGGCGGACUUGAGGCCGGUAGGGGUCACUGGAACUGACGGUGGAGCGGUGAAAUGCGUAGAUAUCGUCAGGAACGCCAAUGGUGAAGACAGGUGACUGGGCCGGUUCUGACACUGAGGCACGAAAGCGUGGGGAGCGAAUGGGAUUAGAUACCCCGGUAGUCCACGCCCUAAACGAUGCAGACUAGACUGCAGCAGGUUACACCCUGUUGCGGUCGGAGCGAAAUUGUUAAGUCUGCCACCUGGGAAGUACGGUCGCAAGGCUAAAACUCAAAGGAAUUGACGGGGGCUCACACAAGCGGUGGAG